rnacentral:rRNA from 1 species
UACGGAGGGGGCUAGCGUUGUUCGGAAUUACUGGGCGUAAAGCGCACGUAGGCGGCUUUGUAAGUUAGAGGUGAAAGCCCGGGGCUCAACUCCGGAAUUGCCUUUAAGACUGCAUCGCUCGAAUUGUGGAGAGGUAAGUGGAAUUCCGAGUGUAGAGGUGAAAUUCGUGGAUAUUCGGAAGAACACCAGUGGCGAAGGCGACUUACUGGACACAUAUUGACGCUGAGGUGCGAAAGCGUGGGGAGCAAACAGG